rnacentral:snRNA from 1 species
AAGCAUAAAAAUAACCUAAAAGC